GAUGAACGCUGGCGGCGUGCCUAAUACAUGCAAGUCGAGCGAACAAAUGAGGAGCUUGCUCCUCUGACGUUAGCGGCGGACGGGUGAGUAACACGUGGAUAACCUACCUUUAAGACGGGGAUAACUUCGGGAAACCGGAGCUAAUACCGGAUAAUAUAUUGAACCACAUGGUUCAAGAGUGAAAGACGGUUUUGCUUUCACUUAUAGAUAGAUCCGGUCCGCAUUAGCUAGUUGGUAAGGUAACGGCUUACCAAGGCAACGAUGCGUAGCCGACCUGAGAGGGUGAUCGGCCACACUGGAACUGAGACACGGUCCAGACUCCUACGGGAGGCAGCAAUAGGGAAUCUUCCGCAAUGGGCGAAAGCCCGACGGAGCAACGCCGCGUGAGUGAUGAAGGUCUUCGGAUCUUAAACCUCUGUUAUUAGGGAAGACCAAAUGUGUAAGUAACUAUGCACGUCUUGACGGUACCUAAUCAGAAAGCCACGGCUAACUACGUG
rnacentral:rRNA from 1 species